CAGGGGAAAACUGCAUGAUUUCUAGUAACUGUCCCUAGAUGAAGAAGUAACAACAUGGACUCAUAUCUUCCCAGGGAUGAGAGGCCAGGACUGAAAUGGGCUGCAGGGGCCAGAAGUAACAAUAUAGCCAACAUUGUUCGAGGUCUUGUUGCUACAAAGCUGCUGUUUGGGAUGUAUGAGUAAAGACAGCACCGGCUUCCGAACUGCAAGAUUUAUCAGAUGCAGAUGAACAGUCAGUCAAGCACGGGUUUUCUAGAACACGAGGCUACUGAGGGCUUAAACUAGUUUACUUUUCGUGAUGUUAAGACCUUAUGAGGUACUUGAUAUCGUGUGUGGGCAGAAAUGCAGAAUGGUACCACCAGUCACUGAAGCCACCUUUCUCAUCACGGACGAGAGACUUGUCAGACAGUGACUGUAGUUUUCAGAGUAGCACUCGAUUGAAGCUCUACAAACUUCAGUUGUCAGUGUUUGAACCAGUAUAUCAUCCUUUGCUGUACAGCGGGCAUAGCCACCUUGACAUUCAACAUCGUAAUUUGUGUUGCACAGGUA